rnacentral:tRNA from 1 species
GCCCCGGUGGCACAGCUGGAUAGCGCAGCCCCCUCCUAAGGGGCAGGUCGCAGGUUCGAAUCCUGCCCGGGGCGCCA